rnacentral:tRNA from 1 species
AAAAAGAUAAGCUAAUCAAGCUAACGGGCCCAUACCCCGUGUAUAAAGGUUCUGCUCCUUUUCUUUUUA